GAUGAACGCUGACAGAAUGCUUAACACAUCAGCAAUUGAUUGGUGGCGGACGGGUGAGUAACGCGUAAAGAACUUGCCUCACAGGUAGGGACAACAUUUGGAAACGAAUGCUAAUACCUAAUACUGUGAGAGAGCUUUGCGUCCCAAUAGCUAGUUGGAGAGGUAACGGCUCACCAAGGCGAUGAUGGAUAGCCGGCCUGAGAGGGUGAUCGGCAACAAGGGGACGGAGACACGGCCCUGACUACUAAGGGAGGCAGCAGGGGGGAAUAUUGGACAAUGGACCAAAGUCUGAUCCAGCAAUUCUGUGGGCAAGAGAAAGUUUUCGGAAUGUAAAGUGCUUUCAGGUAGGAAGCGGUACCAACAGAAGAAGUGACGGCUAAAUACGUGCCAGCAGCCGCGGUAAUA
rnacentral:rRNA from 1 species